rnacentral:antisense_RNA from 1 species
GUGCCUUUUUCCAUAAUUUUUUCUUAUAACCAGCCCUUCUCAUCCAAAGGCCACAAUGAAGUCAAAGAAAACUAUAGAUGACAGCUUUCACAAUCUUUCUCUUGCCUUUUCGUGUACUGACGUAUGUUAGAGAUCUGACUGGCAGCUUCAAGGCACUUGGAAGCAAGAGGGCCACUCUAUUAAGGAUCGCUGAAGUAUGCCCACAUGUCAGGUUUCUCUCAGAUGUGUCUCAGGUAUGCCUUUAUCAGCAGCAUGAAAACAGACUAAUACACACACUACUAUGCAGAGAUUAAAAGCAAUAAAGGAAUUGGGCACAGGGGCUCCAGCCUAUAAUCCCAGCACUUUGGGAGGCUGAGGUAGGCGGAUCACUUGAGGUCAGGAGUUCAAAACCAGCCUGGCCAACAUGGUAUCAAAACAUCAUUAUGGGCCGGGCACAGUGGCUUACGCCUGUAAUCCCAGCACUUUGGGAGGCUGAGGCAGGUGGAUCAAGAGGUCAAGAGAUCGAGAUCAUCCCGGCCAACAUGGUGAAAUCCCAUCUCUACUAAAAACACAAAAAUUAGCUA